rnacentral:rRNA from 1 species
GAUGAACGCUGGCGGCGUGCCUAAUACAUGCAAGUCGAGCGAACAGAUAAGGAGCUUGCUCCUUUGACGUUAGCGGCGGACGGGUGAGUAACACGUGGGUAACCUACCUAUAAGACUGGGAUAACUUCGGGAAACCGGAGCUAAUACCGGAUAACAUUUGGAACCGCAUGGUUCUAAAGUGAAAGAUGGCUUUGCUAUCACUUAUAGAUGGACCCGCGUCGGAUUAGCUAGUUGGUAAGGUAACGGCUUACCAAGGCGACGAUACGUAGCCGACCUGAGAGGGUGAUCGGCCACACUGGAACUGAGACACGGUCCAGACUCCUACGGGAGGCAGCAGUAGGGAAUCUUCCGCAAUGGGCGAAAGCCUGACGGAGCAACGCCGCGUGAGUGAUGAAGGGCUUCGGCUCGUAAAACUCUGUUAUUAGGGAAGAACAGAUGUGUAAGUAACUGUGCACGUCUUGACGGUACCUAAUCAGAAAGCCACGGCUAACUACGUG